rnacentral:rRNA from 1 species
CACCCGUUCCCAUUCCGAACACGGAAGUUAAGCUCUUCUGCGCCGAUGGUACUGCAUGGGUGACUAUGUGGGAGAGUAGGUCGCCGCCGAUU